AGUGAACGCUGGCGGUAGGCCUAACACAUGCCAGUCGAACGGCAGCACAGUAAGAGCUUGCUCUUACGGGUGGCGAGUGGCGGACGGGUGAGAAAUACAUCGGAAUCUACUUUUUCGUGGGGGAUAACGUAGGGAAACUUACGCUAAUACCGCAUACGACCUACGGGUGAAAGCAGGGGAUCUUCGGACCUUGCGCGAUUGAAUGAGCCGAUGUCGGAUUAGCUAGUUGGCGGGGUAAAGGCCCACCAAGGCGACGAUCCGUAGCUGGUCUGAGAGGAUGAUCAGCCACACUGGAACUGAGACACGGUCCAGACUCCUACGGGAGGCAGCAGUGGGGAAUAUUGGACAAUGGGCGCAAGCCUGAUCCAGCCAUACCGCGUGGGUGAAGAAGGCCUUCGGGUUGUAAAGCCCUUUUGUUGGGAAAGAAAAGCAGCAGGUUAAUACCCCGCUGUUCUGACGGUACCCAAAGAAUAAGCACCGGCUAACUUCGUG
rnacentral:rRNA from 1 species